GCCCGGUUAGCUCAGACGGUAGAGCGCGGGACUUUUAAUCCUGAGGUCGAGGGUUCAAAUUCCUUCAUCGGGCG
rfam:Daphnia pulex DAPPTscaffold_38_Cont2209, whole genome shotgun sequence.